CAGUCUCUGAUAUUUUCCAUAAACGUGUGUAUUUAUUAUCGCAAUGGUUAACAUAAGUAGCCUUUAGCAUCGCAUACAGUGGAAACGCGACUGGCUCUGGCACGCACGAUAAAAAAGGAGUAAAAUAUCACAUCAUAAGGCUUUGGUGCUAGCAUCAGUGACGGGAAGUACAGACAGCGGGUUGUUCAAGUAUUGCAGGGUCAGGAUGCUCUAGUCAUGCAGCAGCACUUUUGUGGAAGAUUUUCCCUGUGAAAACAUUAUCGGCCAUCUCGCCUGUACCAUUGACUCGUGGGGAGCGCCCGUGGUCAAAGGUGUGGUUAACGGCUUAGCUCAUCGUCCCAAGCGCUCGGUCACACACUCCUCAAAGUGGCAUCGCCUGAAGGGCACUGAUAACACGCAUCCUGUGCUCCUAUUGGCUGAUGUCCAGAGAGCCGGCAAUCUCACACAGAAGAAUCUGUACAUUAGAGGAAAGGUGGACGUUUGACGGGGGAGGCGUGGAUGUGUCCAGUCAGUGGAACCUGGCGUCUGCUUGAAUGCCCGUCAACACUGUACGCACCCACGAAUUCACACAAAUGCGCACGCAUGUAAAGGGGG